UACGGAGGUGGCAAGCGUUGCUCGGAAUCACUGGGCGUAAGGGCGCGUAGGCGGGGAGGUAAGUCGGGUGUGAAAUCCCUCGGCCCAACUGAGGAACUGCGCCCGAGACUGCUUCUCUUGAGUCCCGGAGAGGAAGAUGGAAUUCCCGGUGUAGCGGUGAAAUGUGUAGAGAUCGGGAGGAACACCGGUGGCGAAGGCGGUCUUCUGGACGGUGACUGACGCUGAGGCGCGAAAGCGUGGGGAGCAAACGGG
rnacentral:rRNA from 1 species